rnacentral:lncRNA from 1 species
AGCAACCGCAACAGAAAUAUUUAUGGUGUAUGAUGUUGAAUGAAUAUACACACAUCAUGCAUGUUCGAUAGUUUAAUAUGAUUGAGUGGAUGUACGGUGGUGUAAUAUACAUGAUUCAACUGUUUAUUUGGUAUCAUUGCUUAGAUAAACUGUAUGAAUAUCGUUGUUGUUCUGUUGUUGCAACCUGCAGACACUAUUACAUGUUAAGAAAAAUAAGAACAAGUACGUGGAAAAAAUAAAGAAAAAAAAAAGAAAAUUACACGAGCAAGCAACUGAAUCUUCAUUUUUUUUUUA